CUGCCCCAAACUUCACAUGAUGGACACCAGGUCCAGUCUGAACACAUCCACACUCAUAAAUUCUGAAAAAGUCAUAGCGCCACCUGUUGGUAAUAGUAAGUUUAAGGCCUUAUAUUUUCAGGUACAAUGGCCCCAAACUUGGUGAUAUCAUGCUGGAAAUUGGUCAGUCGAGUCUUCACCUCUUGACAAUCACACACUGUGAAGGGUGUGACAUUUCAUGCAACGCUGUUGCCGUAGCAACCAAAUAUCGCCAUGAAAAACAAAGCCCUUUCUGACAGUUUAGAAAUACUCCAAUGCUCACUAAAAUUACCACACACAUCACCAUCGACCCAAGGAACAACACUGUAUGCAUCUCGGCACUGCACAUGCUAUAGCGCCCCCUACAGUAUUUUUAACAAACAGCCCCCCCAGCACG